rnacentral:tRNA from 1 species
AAGAAUUUAGUUUAAUUUAAAAACAUUAAUUUGUCAAAUUAAAAAUACUAAUAAACAAGUAUUUCUUA